GAAGAUAUAGCUCAGUGGGUAGAGUGCCUGCUUUGCAUGCAGGAGCUCCUAGGUUCACUCCCCAGCACUUCCA
rnacentral:tRNA from 1 species